UACGUAGGGUGCAAGCGUUAAUCGGAAUUACUGGGCGUAAAGCGUGCGCAGGCGGUUUUGUAAGUUUGUCGUGAAAGCCCCGGGCUCAACCUGGGAAUUGCGAUGAAGACUGCAAGGCUUGAAUCUGGCAGAGGGGGGGUAGAAUUCCACGUGUAGCAGUGAAAUGCGUAGAGAUGUGGAGGAAUACCGAUGGCGAAGGCAGCCCCCUGGGCCAAUACUGACGCUCAUGCACGAAAGCGUGGGGAGCAAACAGG
rnacentral:rRNA from 1 species